UGUGUGUGUGUGUGUGUGUGCAAGAACAAAUUCAGUUCAUCUCAUAAAAUAAACAGCAUUUUGGAAUUUAGUUUUGAGCUAGUGGUAUUUUAUCAAAGUUUGUAGUGAGAUACUUCUCUGCUUUGAUUUCAAUUUUUUAUUUGCAAUGGUAUUUGGUCGUCAUUACCAUUUGCAUUCUUCUUGAUCUAGUUUUAUUUUGUAUUGCAGCAUCUUGUUUGUACAAACUGA
rnacentral:misc_RNA from 1 species